CAACACAAGAAAAUAUUGAAAUAAAUAUUUAAUUAAUUUUUUUAACAUACAAAUUUAUGUAUAUCUGUAAAGUCGGUUUUUUAUAGGUGCGUAGGUAAUAUAAUCUGUUGAACCUCAUGUACAAAAACAAGGAUUCUUUUCAGAAAAACAUGAUAUAUUAAAUGUCUCUAUCAGCCAUCAGGGUCAAUGUUUGUUGGCGUGUGGAAAGUUUGGUCACAAUACAAUAUUUAUAUAAAUGUAUCAUAAUAAAACGGGUUCUUAAAAAUAAUAUAAAAUAACUAAAAUCAUUACUGCUUCAGUUUAUAUCGCGUUGGAACGAAAAAUAAAAGCAAGUGCCGAGUUUAUGAUAUACAUACGAAUAACACUGACAUUCAAACCUGUUUUAUUAUAAAAAUAUAUAACUUUAAAAAGAAAUAUCAUACUAGUCAAAAUUAAUGACUUUUACCUACUGAAAAAACAUAGAUGGAUAAGAUGCACAAAUCAGCUUAGCAGAUGUCGCUGCAUCUAGGUUAUUUGAAAUGGAAAGAUUGCUACGUGGGAUUACCCAACUAACGGUCAGCUGGACUAAGUGCUUUUGCUGGUGGGUUAGCAUGAGAUGACUCUCACAAAGAGAAACUUCAUACUUACUACCAGUCCUCCGAUAUGUUGAAAUAUAGCAACACUGGCAAUAUUAUUACGAAGAUUACACCCCAACAAGUGGACCUUGGUUGCCA